GGAAGGUGGAGUUUGGUGUCGGGAUUGCCUUCGGUCCUCCUGGGCCACGCUGGGGUCGGGCUCCGGACCGAGGUCGCUCAGAUCCCGCAGGCUGCCUUUCACUGGUUUUGGCGUCACGGUCGAACCUAAGUGAGGAGGCACAGGGAAAGGCCAAGCUCGCUUUUGUGAGGUGGGGGAACCGGCGUUAAUCGGGCUAGCUGCGUUCCCGGCAGGCACUCGCCAUGGGGGAGGUGGAGAUCUCGGCCCGGGCCUACGUGAAGAUGUGCUUGCACGCCGCCCGGUACCCACACGCUGCGGUCAACGGGCUGUUGCUGGCGCCUGCGCCGCGGUCCGGAGAAUGCCUGUGCCUCACCGACUGUGUGCCCCUCUUCCACAGCCACCUGGCCUUGUCCGUCAUGCUGGAGGUCGCCCUCAACCAGGUGGAUGUGUGGGGCACACAGGCCGGUCUGGUGGUAGCUGGGUACUACCAUGCCAAUGCAGCUCUGGACGACCAGAGCAGUGUCUGAGCACCUGUUUCCCACAGCACUCAAGCAUCAAGCAGUCGUGCAUCAAGCAUCAAGCAGGCCUGCCCACCCUCCUCCCUCAGGCCAGCGAAAGGGAAAGGCUACAACUGCACUCACAUCUAUGAGACCUGGGAGGCCCACCUCAGAUGAAUAGGGUCUGUCCACAGAGUCGGCUCCUCACUCCUCUGAUCUUCCCUCUACACAGCCCUGGGCCUCUGGCCUUGAAAAUUGCUGGGCGAAUUGCAGAAUUCUUCCCUGAUGCAGUACUUAUUAUGUUGGAUAAUAAGAAACUGGUGCCUCAGCCUCGUGUGCCUCCAGUCAUUGUCCUGGAGAGCCAAGGUCUCCGCUGGGUCCCCAAGGACAAGAACUUAGUGAUGUGGAGGGACUGGGAAGAGUCACGGCAGAUGGUGGGAGCACUACUGGAGUGCCGGGCCCAUCAGCACCUUGUGGACUUUGACUGCCACCUUGAUGACAUCCGGCAGGAUUGGACCAACCAGCAGCUCAACACCCAAAUCACCCAAUGGAUUGGUCCUACCAGUAGAAAUGGAAAUGCCUGAGCCACGGCCAGCAUCAGAAUACAAUAAAGAGAUGGGCUG